AUCCAAAUGACGAGUCUCAGAUAGGACGAAACGCGCGUUCUUGAU
rnacentral:hammerhead_ribozyme from 1 species